rnacentral:rRNA from 1 species
UAGCUGUUGGGAGACAAGAUCUCUCAGUGGCGCAGCUAACGCUUUAAGUUGUCCGCCUGGGGAGUACGGCCGCAAGGUUAAAACUCAAAUGAAUUGACGGGGACCCGCACAAGCGGUGGAGCAUGUGGUUUAAUUCGAUGCAACGCGAAAAACCUUACCUACUCUUGACAUACUUGGAAGCUCUUGUAAUGAGAGUGUGCUUUUAGAGCCAAGAUACAGGUGCUGCAUGGCUGUCGUCAGCUCGUGUCGUGAGAUGUUGGGUUAAGUCCCAUAACGAGCGCAACCCUUACCCUUAUUUGCCAGCGGUUCGGCCGGGAACUAUAAGGGGACUGCCGGUGACAAACCGGAGGAAGGUGAGGACGACGUCAAGUCAUCAUGGCCCUUACGAGUAGGGCUACACACGUGCUACAAUGGGGAAUACAGACGGACGCUAAAGCGUGAGCUGGUGCUAAUCCUAAAAAAUUUCUCGUAGUCCGGAUUGCAGUCUGCAACUCGACUGCAUGAAGUCGGAAUCGCUAGUAAUCGCGAAUCAGCAUGUCGCGGUGAAUACGUUCUCGGGUCUUGUACACACCGCCCGUCACACCAUGGAAGUGUGUUGCACCAGAAGUAGGUAGUCUAACCUUCGGGAAGGCGCUUACCACGGUGUGAUCCAUGACUGGGGUGAAGUCGUAACAAGGUAACCGUA